AUUGAACGCUGGCGGCAUGCCUUACACAUGCAAGUCGAACGGCAGCACGGGAGCAAUCCUGGUGGCGAGUGGCGAACGGGUGAGUAAUAUAUCGGAACGUGCCCAGUCGUGGGGAUAACGUAGCGAAAGCUACGCUAAUACCGCAUACGAUCUAUGGAUGAAAGCGGGGGGAUCGCAAGACCUCGCGCGAUUGGAGCGGCCGAUAUCAGAUUAGGUAGUUGGUGAGGUAAGGCUCACCAAGCCGACGAUCUGUAGCUGGUCUGAGAGGACGACCAGCCACACUGGGACUGAGACACGGCCAGACUCCUACGGGAGGCAGCAGUGGGGAAUUUUGGAACAAUGGGCGCAAGCCUGAUCCAGACAAUGCCGCGUGCAGGAU
rnacentral:rRNA from 1 species